AAUUCCAUUUAAUGAACUUAUUCACAUUCCAAGUUAGCCUUAAGAACCAAAAUAUUUAAAAAUGUGAUUGCACGAGAUAUCAUUUUUAGAUGUUUUAAGUAGAGUGAAAGGCAAAAAUUAUUAUGGAGAAUGAAUGUAGGUUUAGAAGAUGAAGUUCAAUAAAGUGAUUAUACUCCCCUUCGCUAAUCCACACUUCCAAUCAUGCCUCUUUACAUUUGAUACCCAGCUCAAAAAUUUUAAGAAGAGCGCACUGAUACUUGAAAGUUUUCAGUCAGGGCUCAGCUUUCUUCCAACUAAAGCAUUUCAUAGCUUAGAUAGCUGAAAAUUUUGUGUCGGGGCUCAAGUUUCUUCCAAGAAAAGCAUUUCAUGUGGAGAUGCAAACAUUGAGUGGCUAAAGUGAUUCCAUAUUGCAGGCUGGGUCAAUAGAAGGGCAAGUGGUUGAAAUUGGACUGGCUUCUACUUCGCUGAUAAAUACUGAAAAGCUCCCUGUUAUAGUUCCUAAUUCCCUAUUCUCCAGCCAAAUGAUAGUGAACAAAUCGAGGGCCCAUGGGCAUGUUACCUUGUCCAAACUUCCUUUAAGAACUGAAGAUAUUGAAAAGAUUCCUACUAUAACAGAAGAGAUAAAAGCAAUGUUGGUGUCCAACCCAAAAAUUGAUGCUCCUUACUGCUAUCUCUCACGGUUAGAAGGUCCACGUGGAGAGCUUACAAUUGGCUGCAACAUCAAAAGUACUAAAACAGAGGAGUGGUCAUCUAUAGAACAAGAUAUCCUCCUGAAAGCUGCCGGUAUCAUGAAGCGACAUCAACUCUGGACGACCGUGUGAAUCAACAGCAUGUGUGAUAGUUUCAGAAGAUGAAAAAUCUGUGGCAAGAUAUCCGAUGCUCAUAUGGGAGGGAGGACGUGUGUAAAUACUGCUCUUUCUUCUUUCAUCUAUCUUACUGUUACAGGAAAAAGAGACAUAAGCAGGGGAUGAAUUACCUAUACAGUUUGUCUAUGUGAUAAUUACAGUUGGUUGA